CCUACGGGAGGCAGCAGUGAGGAAUAUUGGUCAAUGGACGAGAGUCUGAACCAGCCAAGUAGCGUGAAGGAUGACUGCCCUACGGGUUGUAAACUUCUUUUAUAUGGGAAUAAAACGUUCCACGUGUGGGAUUUUGUAUGUACCAUAUGAAUAAGGAUCGGCUAACUCCGUGCCAGCAGCCGCGGUAAUACGGAGGAUCCGAGCGUUAUCCGGAUUUAUUGGGUUUAAAGGGAGCGUAGGUGGAUUGUUAAGUCAGUUGUGAAAGUUUGCGGCUCAACCGUAAAAUUGCAGUUGAAACUGGCAGUCUUGAGUACAGUAGAGGUGGGCGGAAUUCGUGGUGUAGCGGUGAAAUGCUUAGAUAUCACGAAGAACUCCGAUUGCGAAGGCAGUUCACUGGACUGCAACGGACACUGAGGCUCGAAAGUGUGGGUAUCAAACAGGAUUAGAUACCCCAGUAGUC
rnacentral:rRNA from 1 species